rnacentral:rRNA from 1 species
CCUACGGGAGGCAGCAGUGGGGAAUAUUGGACAAUGGGCGCAAGCCUGAUCCAGCCAUGCCGCGUGUGUGAAGAAGGCCUUCGGGUUGUAAAGCACUUUCAGUGGUGAGGAAAGGUUGAUGGUUAAUACCCAUCAGCUGUGACGUUAGCCACAGAAGAAGCACCGGCUAACUCCGUGCCAGCAGCCGCGGUAAU